rnacentral:rRNA from 1 species
GACGAACGCUGGCGGCGCGCCUAACACAUGCAAGUCGAACGAGCGAGCGAGAGCUUGCUUUCUCGAGCGAGUGGCGAACGGGUGAGUAACGCGUGAGGAACCUGCCUCAAAGAGGGGGACAACAGUUGGAAACGACUGCUAAUACCGCAUAAGCCCACGGCUCGGCCUCGAGCCGGGGGAAAAGGAGCAAUCCGCUUUGAGAUGGCCUCGCGUCCGAUUAGCUAGUUGGUGGGGUAACGGCCCACCAAGGCGACGAUCGGUAGCCGGACUGAGAGGUUGAACGGCCACAUUGGGACUGAGACACGGCCCAGACUCCUACGGGAGGCAGCAGUGGGGAAUAUUGCACAAUGGGGGAAACCCUGAUGCAGCGACGCCGCGUGGAGGAAGAAGGUCUUCGGAUUGUAAACUCCUGUUGUUGGGGAAGAUAAUGACGGUACCCAACAAGGAAGUGACGGCUAACUACGUG